AUACGGAGGGUGCAAGCGUUAUCCGGACUCAUUGGGUUUAAAGGGUCCGCAGGCGGACUAAUAAGUCAGUGGUGAAAUCCUCUCGCUUAACGAGAGAACUGCCAUUGAAACUGUUAGUCUUGAAUUCGGUCGAAGUAGGCGGAAUGUGUCAUGUAGCGGUGAAAUGCAUAGAUAUGACACAGAACACCGAUAGCGAAGGCAGCUUACUAGACCUGGAUUGACGCUCAUGGACGAAAGCGUGGGGAGCGAACAGGAUUAGAAACCCUAGUAGUCC
rnacentral:rRNA from 1 species